rnacentral:rRNA from 1 species
AUACCGAAUAUUGAAACAUAAGUGGCAUCACUGAGUUUUGAAAGAAUUUCGGUGGAGGAUGACUUCGCGGCCUAUCAGCUAGUUGGUGAGGUAAUGGCUCACCAAGGCAACGACGGGUAGCCGGCCUGAGAGGGCGACCGGCCACACUGGGACUGAGACACGGCCCAGACUCCUACGGGAGGCAGCGGUGGGGAAUAUUGGGCAAUGGAGGAAACUCUGACCCAGCGACGCCGCGUGCGGGAUGAAGGCCUUCGGGUUGUAAACCGCUUUCAGUAGGGAAGAAGCGAAAGUGACGGUACCUACAAAAGAAGCACCGGCUAACUAUGUGCCAGCAGCCGCGGUAAUACAUAGGGUGCAAGCGUUGUCCGGAAUUAUUGGGCGUAAAGAGCUCGUAGGUCGUUUGUUACGUCGGAUGUGAAAACCUGAGGCUCAACCUCAGGCCUGCAUUCGAUACGGGCAAACUAGAGUUUGGUAGGGGAGACUGGAAUUCCUGGUGUAGCGGUGGAAUGCGCAGAUAUCAGGAGGAACACCAAUGGCGAAGGCAGGUCUCUGGGCCAAUACUGACACUGAGGAGCGAAAGUCUGGGGAGCGAACAGGAUUAGAUACCCUGGUAGUCCAGACCGUAAACGGUGGGCACUAGUUGUGGGAACCUUCCACGGUUUCUGCGACGCAGCUAACGCAUUAAGUGCCCCGCCUGGGGAGUACGAUCGCAAGAUUAAAACUCAAAGGAAUUGACGGGGCCCCGCACAAGCAGCGGAGCAUGCGGCUUAAUUCGACGCACCGCGAAGAACCUUACCAAGGCUUGACAUAUAGGGAAAAGUGGCA